GCCCAGCAGUAGGGGAGUCUUGCUGGAGAAAGCUUGGGGUCUGCUGGACUUUAUAGUGGCUAAUUGGGCUUUAAGCAUUUGUUCCAGUCAUUUGUGGGGGAAAGGAAGCAGGGUGAGCUGGAUCAGACUCUUCCUGUGACUUGGUAUAGUGAAAUAUGAGGUGAGGAACUUGAGCAUGGUCCCUGGGGAUCAAGGAGAAGUGGAGAUGGAGGGAGCCGCAUGGUCUGUGCUGCGUGGUGCCAUCAUGGAAGGUGCAAGGAGGAGCCAGACAGCAGCAGAGUGAAGAUCAGAGGAAAACGGGCAGCCAGAACACACGGGAGCCCGCAGCAUCUGCCUUUGCCUCUGGACACACAAGUGCACAGAAGAGCUUGUGUUCCAGCCGUCGCGAGUAAUGCCACGGUCUUGAAAUCGGAGCCCGCGGGUGGGGGAGCGGAGCACAGCAGCUGGAGCGGGGUGGUUUGCAAUGAAAACUGCUGGUGCUGCUUUUCAGCCACAGCCAUAUAUUUAUAAUAUAUAUAUAUUUUUUGCACUGCUUUAAAGGCUUUCCUUUUAAAGAAAUUG